CACUCCAGCAUAAAUGUAUUUGUUUUCAUGCUAAACAAAUAGAAUUUAAACAAAUAUAUAGUUUCAUGACAUUCAUUUAAACAAAUCCAACAAGACUCUCUUAAGAGUGAAGGACCCCAUAGGACUAACAUCCAGAUUAUAAAUAGAAUCACUGCAAACGAUGAGGAAGUGGAUGGCAACAGUGGCUACAUUGAUGAGGGGCUUAUGGUACAUCAGGUAUUAUGCUAAAUAGUCUUUUCAUCACGCCUCUUCCUGCAUACCACAAACUUAUGCAUAAGUCCUAACACACGUCCCAUUUUUCAGGUGAGAACAACGAAGCUUAAAGGAUGUGGCGACUUGCCCAGGUUCCCACAGCCAAUGAACAGAGAGAGGAUGUCAGGGCGGACUGAACCAGUCUACAUUCAAAUCCCCGGCUGCUAGCCAGCACACCAGAAUACUCUGGGACAAGAAGAACAUUGCUGGAACAAUGAGAGAUCAAGAUUUGUCUGAUCAACACAGCAAGGGGACUUUGAGGAUGGAGGAACUUCUAACGUUCAAUCGCUAUCCUUUGAGGAUGGAAAUGUCUCAUAGGUGGGGUGUGAUGACAACUCAAGAACAAACAGGUAAUAUCAAGUCCCUCCUCACGGAGCUUACAGUCAAGACAGCCUCCCUGGUCCAGCUCGGGAGAGAGACAGAGACAGAAAGACAGAGAGAGAGGUAUAUUCUAAUUAUUCACUAAAUGAAGGACACAAAAUUAAAAUGAUCUGGUGUGAUGUCAACUGUACUCUGAAGUGAGACCUGUGCUGGAUGCUGCCCUCAGUUCCUGGUUACUCUAAAGGAGGACAGGUGUGCGCCCUAGGUUCUGUGGGAGCCUGUGUUGCCCUCUCCUGUCUCUGCCGGCCCCAUGCCCAUCUUCUGCUGAUGUGUACUAUUGUAGUCUCACACCAUCUCUCCUGCUCUGUGAGUGGCUGGAUGUACUCUUCCUGAACUGUCUUUACUAAUUGAUUUUGAUGAAAGGUUCCUUUCCUUUUCAUAUGUUGUGCACAUGUCUGGUUAUAGCCAUAUAAAACCUAACAUUACUUCUGUCUCCUCAACUGGAACACUAAAGGGUUGCUCCUCCAAGCAAAUAGG
rnacentral:lncRNA from 1 species